rnacentral:pre_miRNA from 1 species
CAAGUACUCCCUCUGUCCCAAAUUUCUUGUCUUAGAUUUGUCUAGAUACAGAUGUAUCUAAUACUAAAAUGUGACUUGAUACAUCCGUAUCUAGACAAAUCUAAGACAAGAAUUUUGGGACGGAGGGAGUACUUU